UAAAGUGGCGCACGGGUGAGUAACACGUGGAUCAUCUACCUUUUAGUGGGGAAUACCUCUGGGAAACCGGAGACAAUACCGCAUAAGCCUGUAAAGGGAAAGCAGCAAUGCGCUGAAAGAGGAGUCCGCGGCCGAUUAGCUAGUUGGCGGGGUAAUGGCCCACCAAGGCGAAGAUCGGUAGCCGGCCUGAGAGGGCACACGGCCACACUGGCACUGAAACACGGGCCAGACUCCUACGGGAGGCAGCAGUGGGGAAUCUUGCACAAUGGGCGAAAGCCUGAUGCAGCGACGCCGCGUGAGCGAUGAAGCCCUUCGGGGUGUAAAGCUCUUUCGACGGGAACGAUAAUGACGGUACCCGGAGAAGAAGCUGCGGCUAACUACGUGCCAGCAGCCGCGGUAAUACGAGGGGGGCGAGCGUUGUUCGGAAUUAUUGGGCGUAAAGGGCGCGUAGGCGGCUGGAUAAGUCUUGUGUGAAAUCUUCGGGCUCAACUCGAAGUCUGCACAGGAAACUAUCCGGCUUGAGUGUGGGAGAGGUGAGUGGAAUUCCUGGUGUAGCGGUGAAAUGCGUAGAUAUCAGGAGGAACACCUGUGGCGAAAGCGGCUCACUGGACCACAACUGACGCUGAGGCGC
rnacentral:rRNA from 1 species